UUGCAGCUGUGGAAGCUAGUUGGUUGAUGUGAGAUGUGAGUGGAUCCAUAGUAGCAAGGACAUGCGGUCUUCCUCAGAGUCACUCUUUAUAUAUGGAGGUUUUCUUUCAAAGUGAUUAACAAGGGCUCUCGACUUGGGUGCAUUGGACAUAAUUUUUACUUAAUGAAGGAAAGAAAAUGGCCCAACCUUCAAAGGGAUCCGUGUUCUUUCUUUAUGUGUGAAAGCUGAUACUUACGCAUUCUGAGUCAUCACAAACUGCAAAUUGUGUUGCUUGGGUAGGCGAUGUGGACCAUGUACAUUAAAUGAGGUUAGGAUUUGAAACUACAUCAGAAAAUACACUAGGUAGACAACCUUGUCCCCUGAAACAUUUCCCAGAAUUAAGCCCGCCCUUUUCUUCCUCUGAUUUUGCUAAUCAGAAAGUCUUAACCAUACUCAAUAGUAUAGGACAUGUACCCUGUGUUAAAAUGAGGCAGCUCAAUAUCCUUAUCAGUUAACCUGUCAGUUCU